GGGCUUGGCCUGGAGGUUGGCACAUGCCUGGUUUCCUUCGGGGAGAACAGUCCUUGUUUCGUCGUGGGAUUUGGCGUGGAAGGCCGAAGACUAUCGCGUGUGUAUCCAAACGGUGCUUUGGUGCCUCGGUUGCCAGAGGGGUUGCGUUGCCCUGUGGGAAGCUGCCAGCUGACUCGUGGGGUGGCUAGCUUUGUGGCAGUGUCUCUGGAUGCUAGGUAAGUUACCGUAGGACUCGGUGGGUUGCUUAGAUUGCAUGGUGUAGCCCUUGUCUAAUUCCUCUCCAUUGGUUUUGGAACAGCAGCGGAAUGUGGCGCGUUUGUGUUCGGAGCUCACAAUGGAUAGUGGCCUUGUAGAACCAUCUCCAGCCUAACGAUCUGCGGCUACUUGGAGAUUCUGUCCCUCGACUUCCCACGGCGUCGGUGGCUGCUGUUUUGUUUCGGUCCGGCUCACGCUCGGGAUUCGUCAACCCGGCGGGCUCUCGCUACCUUUGAUAAGGGAACGCACAUCUGUGACUGUGUUUC